rnacentral:rRNA from 1 species
AACGAACGCUGGCGGCAGGCCUAACACAUGCAAGUCGAGCGAAGCCUUCGGGCUUAGCGGCGGACGGGUGAGUAACGCGUGGGAACGUGCCCUUUGGUACGGAAUAGCCCAGGGAAACUGGGAGUAAUACCGUAUGUGCCCUUCGGGGGAAAGAUUUAGCGCCAAAGGAUCGGCCCGCGUUGGAUUAGGUAGUUGGUGGGGGAAUGGCCUACCAAGCCGACGAUCCAUAGCUGGUUUGAGUGGAUGAUCAGCCACACUGGGACUGAGACACGGCCCAGACUCCUACGGGAGGCAGCAGUGGCGAAUCUUAGACAAUCGGGGAAACCCCGAUCUAGCCAUGCCGCGUGAUCGAUGAAGGCCUUAGGGUUGUAAAGAUCCUUCAGUGGGGAAGAUAAUGACUGUACCCACAGAAGAAGCCCCGGCUAACUCCGUGCCAGCCGCCGCGGUAAAAC